rnacentral:rRNA from 1 species
AUACGGAGGAUGCGAGCGUUAUCCGGAUUUAUUGGGUUUAAAGGGUGCGCAGGCGGGCGAUUAAGUCAGCGGUGAAAGGCUCGGGCUCAACCGGAGCAGUGCCGUUGAUACUGGUUGUCUUGAAUGCGGUCAAGGCCGGCGGAAUGUGGCGUGUAGCGGUGAAAUGCAUAGAUAUGCCACAGAACACCGAUAGCGAAGGCAGCUGGCCGAGCCUGCAUUGACGCUGAGGCACGAAAGCGUGGGGAUCGAACAGGAUUAGAUACCCUGGUAGUCCACGCUGUAAACGAUGGACACUCGUUGUCGGCGACAGACAGUCGGCGGCCAAGCGAAAGUGAUAAGUGUCCCACCUGGGAAGUACGGUCGCAAGGCUGAAACUCAAAUGAAUUGACGGGG